CGCACACACGCUAUCCCCCCAACUGCUGCACAUUUGCACUCUUCGCCUGUAUAAUAAAUACAGACCCAGCCGCGCAAAUCUUUCAUCCCCUCAACUCUACGUCUCUCUCUACCUACUCUCGGUCACCACACCUCGCUCGAAAACAAAACUGAUCAACAGCAUUGUUGGUGACGAUGAGCUCGACGUGGCUGGCUUUUGCAUGGGCGGCGGCCGCCCUCGUCGUGGCGGCGGCCACGGCGCACGCCCCGCACCACCCGUCGUCGCUGCAGGUCGGUUUCUACAAGCACUCGUGCCCACAGGCCGAGGACAUCGUGCGCAACGCCGUCCGCCGCGGUCUGGUCCGCGACCCGGGCGUUGGCGCGGGACUCAUCCGCAUGCACUUCCACGACUGCUUCGUCCGGGGCUGCGACGCCUCAAUCCUCAUCAACUCCACGCCGGGCAACCUAGCCGAGAAGGACUCCGUGGCCAACAACCCCAGCAUGCGCGGCUUCGACGUCAUCGACGACGCCAAGGCCGCCCUCGAGGCGCACUGCCCGCGCACCGUCUCCUGCGCCGACAUCGUCGCGUUCGCGGCCCGCGACAGCGCCUGCUCCGCCGGCGGCCUCGAGUACGAGGUCCCCUCGGGGCGCCGCGACGGCCGAGUUUCCAGACAAGACGAGGUGCUCGACAACAAUGUCCCCACACCGACCGACGUCGUCGCCGAGCUCAUCGAGAGCUUCAAGCGCAAGGGGCUGUCCGCCGACGACAUGGUCACGCUCUCCGGCGCGCACACCAUCGGCCGCUCCCACUGCUCCUCCUUCACGCAGCGGCUAUACAACUUCAGCGGGCAGCUGGGGUGGACGGACCCGUCCCUCGACCCCGCCUACGCCGGGCACCUCAAGGCGCGGUGCCCUUGGCCGUCCAGCGACGACCAGAUGGACCCCACGGUGGUGCCGCAGGACCCAGUCACGCCGGCGACCUUCGACAACCAGUACUUCAAGAACGUGCUUGCGCACAAGGUCCUGUUCGUCUCCGACAACACGCUGCUCGACAACCCCUGGACGGCCGGGAUCGUCCAAUUUAACGCCGCAGUCGAGAAGGCGUGGCAGGUCAGGUUCGCCAAGGCCAUGGUCAAGAUGGGCAAGGUGCAGGUGCUCACCGGCGAUGAGGGAGAGAUCAGGGAAAAGUGCUUCGUCGUCAACCCACACUACUAGCUAUUGCAACUACAUACUUCGAGAGACUACCUAUAGAGCUAAAAAUAGAGAUUUUGAAGAGAGAGAAAAAAAAGUACUCUCGCGAGUGCAAAUAAGACUCUUGUAGACGCUCGUAUUACUCUCCGUGGAAAUCUCUAGCCAGAAAUCAUUAAUAUAAUAAAGGACAAGUGGCACGUCUAUCACCGC
rnacentral:misc_RNA from 1 species